CGAUAUUAUAAUUUGAGGUAUACAUAAUUUUAAAUAAAAUACUUUUACAAUAAAAAGUAAAAAUACAUAUAUCUUAUCUAACUUAAUGCAAGUGAGAGCAGCACUCAAAAAAUCUUCAAAUUACAUCCAUUAUCAAAGUUGUUGCCCUCAUAAGCGCAAUAUUGAAUUCAUUCUUGAAUUAUCUCCGGUAAAUUAGCUAGGUUUCUAACGUCGUCUCUCUGCCGAGACCAACUUAAAAAUCUACUUCCAAAACUAUUUGAGAAGAUGCCUAACUAGUGACUACCCAGAAACUCGAACUCAUGUUCUCAACAAAAGUGGAGAAGGACACACUGGCCACGGGCCACGGCAUAGGAUUAAUUGAAGAUAAUUGUCAUCCAUUCACGUGCCGGAGGAGUACCCUGGGUAAAAAGAAAAAUCAAAAGUACAGUUGGCAAUAAAUAGAACCCAGAAAAAUAAAUAAAUAAAUCAGUGAAGAAUUAAUGAGAGGACAAACAUGGGGCACGAGUCAAGGUCGCUGGCAUUUUCACAAACAGAUGGAAGAAAGGGGACACAUAAAUUUUACGCCCGCAAGCUCUCAUCUCGUUCUCUCUCCCCCUCACUCUGUUCUGUGGCAGUACUGGCCUGCAUUGGCAUAUGCAGAUGCAAGUUGAGUUGUGAGUAAUUGUCGUUUCUUUAUAAAUAUGUUUUUUGUUUGAGAGUUGAGAGAACGACUGCGUCG
rnacentral:lncRNA from 1 species